AGUGAACGCUGGCGGUAGGCCUAACACAUGCAAGUCGAACGGCAGCACAGUAAGAGCUUGCUCUUACGGGUGGCGAGUGGCGGACGGGUGAGGAAUACAUCGGAAUCUACUUUUUCGUGGGGGAUAACGUAGGGAAACUUACGCUAAUACCGCAUACGACCUACGGGUGAAAGCAGGGGAUCUUCGGACCUUGCGCGAUUGAAUGAGCCGAUGUCGGAUUAGCUAGUUGGCGGGGUAAAGGCCCACCAAGGGGACGAUCCGUAGCUGGUCUGAGAGGAUGAUCAGCCACACUGGAACUGAGACACGGUCCAGACUCCUACGGGAGGCAGCAGUGGGGAAUAUUGGACAAAGGGCGCAAGCCUGAUCCAGCCAUACCGCGUGGGUGAAGAAGGCCUUCGGGUUGUAAAGCCCUUUUGUUGGGAAAGAAAAGCAGCAGGUUAAUACCCCGCUGUUCUGACGGUACCCAAAGAAUAAGCACCGCCUAACUUCGU
rnacentral:rRNA from 1 species